CGCGGGUUACUCUUGUUUACUUUUUGUUUCCCUCAUGGCUCAUCGAAUCAUAGUCUCUUCUUCGCUCUCUCUACCAUCUCUGUCCCGCAAACUUCCCUCCUUCCCUCUUUCUCUUUUAUUUUCCUCCACCGAACACUUAAAUGACAGAAACCCUAUCCUCCCUUAGCCCCUCUAUUCUCUCUCAUUCUUAAUCCACUAAAUCCUGAAAGCAUAGAAACCCUCUCCUCCCUCUAUCUUUCAUUUCUCCCUCUUCUCUAAUACCACCACCUCCAAUGACAUCGCUUCCAACACCACCAUUAGGUGUUUUUAACAGAGUUCUCAUACAUGGCAUAAAAAAAACAGAACUCUCAUACCUAUCUAUCUAAACAAAAUGACUGAAGAUCUUUAUCUAGAUGCAAAGUAAGCUUCAGGAGAGGAGGAAAUAUGAGAGCAAGAAACAAAGUGGGAUCUCAGCCCACCGUUAAACAUGUAACAAGAAACCCUUAAUGUGUGGCUGAAGACAAUGGAUAAUUUUUUACAUUUAGAGUUUCUCUUUUUAUUUUUUGUUUUUUAAGGUUAUGUAAACGUUAAUAUGUUGUAAGGGAAAUUUGACAUUUGUGAUA